UACGGAGGGUGCAAGCGUUAUCCGGAUUCACUGGGUUUAAAGGGUGCGUAGGUGGGCAGAUAAGUCAGUGGUGAAAUCUUCCGGCUUAACCGGAAAAUUGCCGUUGAUACUAUUUGUCUUGAAUAUUGUGGAGGUAAGCGGAAUAUGUCAUGUAGCGGUGAAAUGCUUAGAUAUGACAUAGAACACCAAUUGCGAAGGCAGCUUACUAUAUAAUUAUUGACACUGAGGCACGAAAGCGUGGGUAGCGAACAGG
rnacentral:rRNA from 1 species